UGGUGGCGAUAGCAAGAAGGAUACACCUGUUCCCAUGCCGAACACAGAAGUUAAGCUUCUUAGCGCCG
rnacentral:rRNA from 1 species